UACGGGGGGAGCAAGCGUUGUUCGGAUCUACUGGGCGUAAAGCGUGCGUAGACGGUUAUUUAAGUCGGAUGUGAAAGCCCCGGGCUCAACCUGGGAAUUGCAUUCGAGACUGAAUAGCUAGGGUACGGUAGAGGGAAGUGGAAUUUCCGGUGUAGCGGUGAAAUGCGUAGAUAUCGGAAGGAACAUCAGUGGCGAAAGCGACUUCCUGGACCAGUACCGACGUUCAGGCACGAAAGCGUGGGGAGCGAACCGG
rnacentral:rRNA from 1 species